rnacentral:rRNA from 1 species
UACGUAGGGUGCAAGCGUUUGUCCGGAAUUAUUGGGCGUAAAGAGCUCGUAGGCGGUUUGUCGCGUCGGCUGUGAAAACCCGGGGCUCAACCCCGGGCCUGCAGCCGAUACGGGCAGCUAGAGUUCGGUAGGGGAGACUGGAAUUCCUGGUGUAGCGGUGAAAUGACGCAGAUAUCAGGAGGAACACCGGUGGCGAAGGCGGGUCUCUGGGCCGAAACUGACGCUGGAGGAGCGAAAGCGUGGGGAGCAAACAGG